rnacentral:lncRNA from 10 species
CUUGCUACAAUUCAAGAUUUACUUUGAGUGAGAGAGGCUUUCUACAUGAUUGCAACACGUUGAAGUUUCUCAUUUUACAGUCAAGAAGUUUAGAAGCUUCUCCAAGCCCAGGCGGCUAGUUGAAAUAAGAAGAGGUAAAUUGCAAUAGAGAGAAAUGAACCCAGAGCUGGGCCUACUGCUCCACAGAGUAACCAUGUGCAGAUGGGUAUACUAAAAUGUGCAAACACAGUUUCAGAGUGCCUGGUGCUAAGACACAAGGACUGCUUUUGUACUUCUACAAGCGCAGCAUGAUUUCAAUGAUGUGUAGAUGGAGCAUCUAUAAAAAACAAGGUGGCAUCAAAAAUUCUGACUAGGCUUGCCACUAGAGUAAGAUCCUCAGGAGUCUUUGGCUUAAAUUAGCUCAGUAUUUCCAGAGCUGCAGCACAGUUACCUCUAGUGUACUAUUUAGCAUUACAAUAAAUCCGUGCUUCUUUGUUCCUUCAGCUCUCCACAGCCUCCAUGGACUGAAGCAGCGCAAGAUGUUUAUAUUCUAUUCCAAAUGCACAUGCUUUUACACAGCUCAUAGUUAUGAGAAUGUCUUUGGAUAUUCUUGGAGUUUUCCAUCAAGUAGAAGAAGUUCAAUUCUGUUUGCUAAUUAUUAUCAUAGAAAUUCAAGUAAAUGCCAGAAUACAGUUUUUAAAAUACACUCCUUCGGAACACUCUCUCUUCAAUUAUCUGAGUCUUAGGCAAAUCAUUUCUUUUGUAAUUCACAUUUUUUAUUAACUUUGACUCUUCAGUGAUUUGUUUGAAAAAGCUCACUACAGAGACAUUUAAUAUAAUAGGUGCACUCCCCACCAACACACGUUUAUAUUUCUCCCUUAAGAUAGAGAAUAGACUAGUAGUAUUCAUCAAGAGGAAAAUAUUCAGAUUUCUUUUUUAAAAAACCCAAGUCUAGUGACUGAUUUUUCAAACUUUAUGUCAAAGAAUGGGCAGACAUAAAUUCAUUGAACAAAAUUAUUUAUUUGUUUGUUUAUUUAUCUAUUUACCAAUUCAGAUUAAAUUUGAUUUGUUGUUAAGUGUAAAAGGUCCUUUCCUAUCUACCUGGAGACUUUCUUUGGGUGUUAUGAGCCUCAGAAUCACCUUUAAAAAUAUACUUACUCUCAGCAAGGUUACAAUGUUAGUACAAAUCAACAUCAAUGGCUUUCUCUUGCCACCGUCUUUUAGACUACAAGAUGAGGACUUUGAUGUAAACUGGACUGAAAACAAUUCUUUUGAGUCUCCAACAGUUUAGCAAAUUCUAAUUGGUUGAGAAUAACAUGCCAUGGUUCUCAAAAAAACCCACCUCCCCUAAUAACACUCUCAAAAGAUACAAAGUAGAAAGAAUUAUUUGAAAUAUGUGCUUUAGACCUACUUAUGUAAGUGAGGAAAAAAGGGCCCACAGAUACAUAAAUGGUGAACAAGAACAAAAAAUAAAAGAUGUUCAGAAUCAUUACUCAUUAGGAAAACGCCAAUCAAAACUCAAAAAAUUAUUGUAGUUGUAUCUGGCAUUUUCAUUAUGUUUUGUUUUGUUUUAAUGUUUUUGACAGUUCUCUGUCAAGUCCUCAAAAUUUAUUUUGAAAGUUUUUUGACCUGGUAAAAGAAUCUUAACAUUGCGACUCACUAAGACUAGAGCAAGUAUCUUUUUCCUCUUCAGCUAAAUUUGAAUGAUAUCAUUCUGGGAUUCAUGACCUAAUUGCUAUGUAACUAACUCAAAUUAGGCAGUCACUUGCAAGAGCUACGAUGAGACAAAAAUAAAGGAAAACAGUUUCAUUUUUUCUUAACACAGAGGUUAUAAACUAGUAGCCUACAUUCCCUAUGUAGCCCAAAGUUAUACUAUGGGCAACAGCAUGGUUGUUUUAAAACUAAGUUUUACCCCAAAGUAUAAAAACCCUGGAAGACAACCUAGGCAAUACCAUUUAGGACAUAGACACAGGCAAAGAUUUCAUGCUGAAGAUGCCAAAAGCAAUUGAAACAGAAGCAAAAAUUGACAAAUGGGAUCUAAUUAAACUAAAGAGCUUCUACACAGCAAAAGAAACUAUCAACACAAUAAACAGACAGCCUACAGAAUGGGAGAAAAGUGUUACAAACUAUGCGUCCAAAAAGAUCUAAUAUCCAGCUUCUAUAAGCAACUUAAAUAAAUUUACAAUAGAAAAACAAACAACCCCAAUAAAAAGUGUGCAAAAGACAUAAACAGUCACCUCUCAAAAGAAGACAUACAAGUUGCAAACAAACAUGUGAAAACAAGUUCAACAUCAUUAAUCAUUACAGAAAUGCAAAUCAAAACCAUAACGAGAUUCUAUCUCACACCAGUCAGAAUGACUAUUAUUAAAAAGUAAAAAAAUAACAGAUGUUGGUGAGAUUGAGAAGAAAAAGGAACACUUAUACACUGUUGGUGGGAGUAAAGAUUAGUUCAAUCAUUGUCGAAGAAACUGUGGCAAUUCCUGAAAGACCUAAAGACAGAAACACCAUCUGACCCAAUAAUCCUAUUACUGGAUAUAUAACCAAAGGAACAUAAACCAUUCUAUUAUAAAGACACAUGCACAUGUAUGUUCAUUGCAGCGCUAUUCACAAUCAACCUACAUGCCUAUCAAUGAUAGACUGGGUAAAGAAGCAAAGACAUGGAAUCAACCUAAAUGCCCAACAAUGAUAGACUGGAUAAAGAAAAUGUGGUACAUAAACACCACGGAAUACUAUGCAGCUAUAAAAAGGAAUGAGACCAUGUCCUUUCCAGGGACAUGAAUGGAGCUGGAGGCCAUUAUCCUUAAUGAACUAACACAGAAGGAAAAAACAAAUAUCACUUGUUUUCACUUAUAAGCAGGUGCUAAAUGAUGAGAACACAUGGACACAUAGAGGGGAGCAACACACACUGGAGCCUAUUGCAGGGUGGAGAAUACAAGCAGGGAAGGUAACAGGAAAAAUAAUAGGUACUAGGCUUAAUACCUGGGUAAUGAAAUAAUCUAUAUGAAAAAGCCCCCAAGACACAAGUUUACCUAUGUAACAAACCUGCACAUCCUGCACAUGUACCCGUGAACUUAAAAUAAAAAAUAAAAACAAGUGAAGUAACUCAGGAAUAAAAAACCAAACAUCAUAGGUCCUCACUUAUAAAUGGGAGCUAAGCUAUGAGGGCACAAAGGCGUAAGAAUGAUACAAUGGACUUUGGGGACUUGGGGGGAGUAGUGGGAAGCAGGUGAGGGAUAAAAAACCACACAUUGGGAACAGUGUACACUGCUUGGGUAAUGGGUGCACCAAAUCUCAGAAAUCACCAUGGAAGAACAUUGUAACCAUUCACCACCUGUGCCCCCAGAACUACUGAUAUUUUAAAAAAGUAAAUGUCAUCUAAAUCAAAACAAAAACCCCAAAACUGGGUUCUAAUUGCCAAUUUUUAAAUGUAUUAUUUUACAUUAAAACUUGUAUUUCUGGAUUAUCUUUAAUAACCCUGAAUUCACAGUCUGACAUGGGCAAGAGCAGCAGGCAUUCCAUCUGAUUCAGUAUGCAUUUACGAUUGGACUCAUUGCUCCCCAUUUUCUAUCAUCUCUUACAUUUGUCCCACUUGACUCUUGUUUUAUUCAUAUGGCCCUCUGUCUUCACACCAGCUGAAAUAAGAUAAUUUGAUCAAAAGAAAAAUUAUCUAAUAAAAGAUAACUCUAGUUCAUUCUUUUUCAAUGCUCUUCUUAGGUUGUCUUACAAACACAUUGAUGGUGAAAAUAUUCCAUUAAAAAAAUUCGAACAAUUGUUUUGAAGUUUUGUUCAUGUUUAUUUAUUUGCUUUUGUCAUCUCGUUUUCUAAAAAUUGAAUUCAGGACAAAAGAGGAAGAAACCUCUGCUUUUAAUUGUGUAAUUCAGCUAGUUUUUAAAUGUUUUUUUCCCACCUUACACCUAAAUGGCUAUCUACUUCCAUAGGUAGCAGUAGAUAAACUGGGAGGCAUGUGUCUUUCACAGUAGAACGGACUUAGCAGGGAGAGGGGCUCUCAGGGUUCAACAGAAGAUGGAUGUUACAUAAUUUUUUUUAAAAGCUCAGCAAUUGAUACUAAGAAACUGUUCCUCCAAUACCAAAAAUUACUCCCAUAGAGAGUUAUUUAUUUUGAGCCUUUCCAAACAUGUCUGGAAAAGCUUGGAAAUCCCUCCUGAUUGUUUAAAAAUACAUGAAUGGAUGCAUCUAGGGCAUGUCUAAUAAAAAGCCAUAUUACUAAGGGCUCUGGUGAAUGGAUAAUUAGCUCCAGAAAUGGGAUCAAGAGUCACAAUAAAAAAAGAAGGAAAUAUUUUCUUCUUUCUUCUCACCUCUCCUUAAUGACUUUGUAUUCUAUUUCUUUCAACUCAGAAUUGAAUAAGGAAUAGAAUGACAAACUAAAAAAAGAAAAGAAACAGAAAACCACCCUGAGUGAAUUAAUUCAUAUAGUUGAAUGAAAUGUUUAUAUCCUGAAACAUCACCUCUUUUAUAUUUAUCUUGCUUACAUUAUGUGGCAAUAUUUUUUUCUCACUUCUUUAUUUUCCUUAUGCUUAAUGCACCCAUCUCCCAUUUUAACUCUUUUCAACGUAUCUUUUCACCUUCUUUCUUGUAAGAUGACACAUUAAUCACUUCAGUGGAAAAGAUACAGCCUUGAAAAUUAGUAUUCAUUAGUCAUACUCUCCCUCCAACCCAAAUCAGUAUUUUGGCCCAUAUCUAACUUAUUUUUGUUCUACUACUCCCAACCCCAGCUCAAUUUAUUUUUUCUCUCCCAUCUAUGUCCUGAGAUUCAAACAGUCUGGUUCCUAGGCCAGUUCUGCCUUUGAAUAAGCUGGAUCAUGUCUUUGAGCCUCAGUUUCCUCAUCCAUAAUCCCCAACUUUCAUUCCAUCACUACCUUUCUGUGCUUCUCUAGGAUCACACACCUGUGGAUUCAAAGGUUUCCUCUACACCAACUAUGCCCCAGCUUUGUGGACCUGGAAAAGAUCUUGGCCUAAGCAAGUUGAAGGCACAUAUUGUGCUUUGCCAAGGGUAUUAUGGGGGUGGCCAGAAGCAACUUUAAAUCUAUAUGGUACAUAUUAUCUGCUCUUUCCAUCUUUUCCAUUUGAGCAUUAGUCCUUUCAUUUAUCAAUUCAUUCUUUGAACAUCCAUUCUAUGAAUGCCUACUACCUCUUAGAUACAUUGCUGGGUGCGAUGGAUUUAAAGACAAUGGCAGAGACAGACCAUUUAAAUAAACCUUGCCAAUAUUCCAAAAUAACUAAACAAACAGCAGAAUAUUUUAUCUUUUUUACACAUCACCUGAAAUAAAGAGGAGACAUGAUGUCAAAAUAUGAGGAUGCCAGCCUUAAAAACUUUAAAAAGUAGAUUUACAUGGGAGUAAAACAAAUCCUUUUUUCCAGAGGAGAGGAAGUAAAUAAAAAUGUACAGAUUUUUUCCAAGUAUAUAAGAAAAUGUUAAGUGAAUUAUUACUUGAAGAUAUAUUAUGAGUAUUUAGUAGUUAGAAGAACAUGGUGAAUACCUCUAAUAUGGAAGGAUGACUCCAUGGAAAGCUUUCUUAACACCGUUUCCUUAUGCCCUCAUCAGAUAUAGUUCCUGACUGGUGGGAAUAUGAAACGUAGUUUCAAGGCCGUUUCUGAUUCCAGCGUAUACUUGUGUGGCCUCAUUCUGCAACAUUCCCCACUUACAGUUAAUAUACCUGCUGUUCAACCCUCUCCCAUUUCCAAACACAACUUCUUCUCUCUUGACCCUUUGUCUUUGCAAAGAUUCUUCCAUAAGCCCAAAAUAUCUGUUUUCUUUUGUCUACUGGUACACGUAUAACUCAUUUAUCAAGGUGAUCUUAAAAUUUCCUUUAGGAAAUUUUCACUGACUUUCAGCCUAGGUAAAUUUCAUCCUCUGUACAUAACAAUUGCAUGUAGUACAUUAUAUUAUAUAUAAUUCCUUACAUUAUUGCUAUAACUUAGUAGGCUUUUAACCCUUGUGAUCCUAAAAAUGAUGUCAAAUUCACAUUAAUAACUUAAAAUUCUAGUAAUCACUACCAGAUACAUAUUUGUAUAUGUUUAUUAUACAUAUAUGUACUUUUGAGAAAGAAAUGAACAAAUGAAUGUGCAAAUUAAUGCUGUGUCUACUAGAAAAUUUGAUUUUGUUGAAUGUAUUGACUGUUGUGAGAAGAGAAUAUAAAUCACUUUUUGUUUGCUUUAUAGACUAAUUGUUAAGUCAUCAAUCCCUCUUUAGUGCUUUUGUACUGAAGAUAGGAGUUAUAUCAGCUUUAUGGAUAAGGAUUUACAUCCCAAAUUCAGAAGAAAAUAUUUUUUAUGCUGGAUUUCAGAUUGGUAAAUAUUGAGUAACAGAGUAACCAAUAGACAAUUAUUCUACAGUUUAAUUGAACAAAAAAUAUUUCUUGCCUCACAUAGUUGAUGCUUACUGCUUAGAUUUUCAUAAUUAUAUCACUUCUUCCACAGUCCUUUCAAUACUUCAGUUUAUUUUUAGCAGACAGGUUACUAAUCUCAAACACCACCCAGGGAGAAUAAGAAAAAUGGUUACUACUAUGGGUGUAAUAUCUCUUUGCAUUCCUGACUUUUCUUAUAAACUGGAACCAUCUUAAUGUUUCACUGUUGCAAAAGAAAGGUAAUGUUUGCAUAUAAAAGUACCUAGAGUUCUUUUAGCUGUCACUUAGGAAGACCCAAACAUUUUAUAUAGCAUGAUUUAUAUAACUUUUGACCUUUUAUAUUUUAUUUUAUUUUAUUUUAAAUUUGUUCCAAAUGUCAGGAACCAUCAAGGUCACCUCAAAGAAGAAAGUUAGUCCUGGGAAUAAAGCAUGAAGAUCGAAGGAAGCUGAAGCUAAGCACCUUGCGCAGGAACUACAGCUCAUUACUGAAAAACUUAGGGCUGGAAACCUGUUUCAUAUCCUUCUGCAGUACAUUCUGUCCCUACACAGUUUGUGUCUACUACAAUACACAGGCAAAUUCUGAAGAGUCAGAACGUGCUAGAAGGAGGACAUGACCUAUGUAUUACCUACAAUAUGUCACAAAUUAUCUCCCCAUAUUAAGAAGAAAGCUAGUAAAAGCACAUUACUGAGUAUGUGGUGAACCUGUUCCAACACAUACAAUAAAUGACAUGUCAGACCAGGCUGGCUUUAUGGGUGUUGCAACAGGAUGCAUUUGGCCAUUUUGAAGUGACUUACUACCAAAAAUAUCUCCUGCUUUGUUUAGCCACUGUGCAGAUAUUUUUAUUUUUUACCAUUCCUUUUAAAUAUAUUUUAAGUAAGAAGCUAGAUACGAGAACAAUUUAAGCAGGAGUAACUCUGUAUUACAUUUAGCUUGGAAAUAUUUAUUAUACUUAAUGGAAUACAACAUCUGUGGCACUGAUGAAAGGGAAGUCCAUUUUCAUGGUAGAUCUCAAAUCAAUAAUUACUCUUUCUGAGGUAAGGAACAAAAUUUAACAUUACUGCUUUGAUAUAUUAGUAAAUUUUGAGUUUCUGUAGGAGGGGGAUAUGUAAUUUACUUUCUAUUUAUAUUCGUUUAUAGUAAUACUAGAAGUCCUAGUAGAAAUGUUCAACUUAUACUACUUUCUGUCAUUUUUAUAGGUUAAUACCCUCCAAAUAUUUAAAAAUCAACCGAUAAGUCUUUCACAUCUAGUGUUAUUUCUUAGACAUACAUAUAUGUAUCUAAGAAAUACACACACACACACACACACACACACACACACACACACCAGUAAAAUGAUGGCCUUGCAUGCAAUAGUUCUUUCCGAUAUUCCUCAACUAAAUCCACCUGGCCAUAGUCUGAUGGGUUUUCAGGGCAUUGACAACUUUAGAUAAUUUAAGUCUCACUAGCGCUACAAGCUAAAGUCAUUAGUAUGAGAGAUUUACUACACUGUUGUAGAUCAGGUAUCUUUUCACUUUCUAUAAUGCCUCCAUUUUAGGCAUACUUUCUUAGUUUGAGAACAAAAUAUCACACACACACACACACACACACACACUUAAACACACAAAGAUAUAUGCAAGUGAUUAAACCCAUUAAUAUUUCUAUUUUCCUGAAGAUAAAAAGAAACUUACAAAUCUUUGUUAGCACUUCAUCCAAUGCUAAUUAUAUGUUACUAUUCUCUAAUAUUUUAGUUCGCUGAUAUUUUGUUAUCCCACAUUUAGACAUCAUCAAGAUCUUUAUUAUUAUUAUGUUAGACAGUUCAUAUUUAUUUAUAGUACCCAUGAUUACUAAUAUCUGGCUCUCUUGCUUCUUAGACAUUAUUCUUGCUUCUCAGACAUUCUUUCUGGAGCUAUUUUACUUUGUCCUGUUUUCUUUCAUAAUAAUAUCCAACUAUCAUAUCUCUUAGCGUAGGCUAGAUUAUACUAUAGAAAUAAAUAUGCCCAAAUAACCAAAGGUGUAUGUUUCAAACUUAUGCUGUAUACCCAACAUAGGUUGUUUAGGAUCUUGGACUGAAAAGGCUCUAUCUCAAAAUAUGCUUCUACCAUCAAUGCAACAAAGGAAAGGGAUUGGGCCACUGCAUUCUGGCACUUAAAGCUUAUUCUGGAGAGUGGUCGUGAUGUAAUUUUACAUGUCAGCAUGGCUAGGCUAUGUGCCCAGAUGUUCGGUCAAGCACCCGUAUAGAUGUUUCUGUGAAGGUGGUUUUUAAAUGUGGUUAACAUUUAAAUCAGCAGGAUUUGAGUAAAGCAGAUUACUUUUUAUAAUGUGAGUGGGACUCAUCCAAUCAGGUUAAGGCUUUAAGAGCAAACACUGAGGUUUUUCAGAGAAGCAGUUUUGCCUCCAGACUUUCUGCCUGAGUUUCCAGCCUGCUGCCUUACAGAAAUUGAAUUCAAGACUGCUACAUCAGCUGGGCAUGGUGGCCCAUGCCUGUAAUCUUAGUACUGUAGGAGGUUGAGGUGGUCAGAUUGCCUAAAGGCCAAACCUCAUCUUCACAGAAAAUACAAAAAACUAUCUGGAUGUGGUGGCACGCACCUGUAGUCCCAGCUACUUCAGAGGCUGAGGUGGGAGGAUCACCUGAACCCAGGAAGUUGAAGCUGCAGUGAGCCAUGAUGGCAACACUGCACUCCAGCCUGGGCAACAGAGUGAGACCUUAUCUCAAAACAAAAGCAAAACAAACAAAAAAGACUACUACACCAACUGUUGCCUUAAUUUUCAGUAUGGUGGCCUGCUCUAAACACUUUAGAUUUCCAGCUCCCACAAUUGCAUAAUUCUGUUUAACUUUUUGAGGAAACAUCAAAAUGUUUUCUCACCACAGCUACACUAUUUUAUGUUUCCACCAGCAAUGUAUGAGGUUUCCAAUUUCUCCACAUCCUCACCAACACUUAUUGUCUUAUUUUAAAAAAUAUUAUAGCCAUCCUCCUGAGGAUAAAGUGUAGAAGACUAUUUUUAAAUCAAAUUGAUGUGAACUUUUUAUUUACCUUUUGCUUUUUUAGAAAAUGUUUUCUGUUUUCUAGGUUUGAAUCAUAAUUAAUUAUAGUCUGUCUAAUAAUUUUAUUAAAUUAAGUCCAUGUUUCUUUUGUUUGUUUCUGCCUACCCUUUUCUAUAGUGAAUUUUGUUUUUGUUUGAGCUUAUGCUUUCUAGCACUGCGUGAGUAAUUAUAAAAGGUCUGAGCAUUUAUCCCUCCAAACAGGAUUUUUCUUUGCUUCUGCCAGGCAGCCUAGUGGUGGUAACAAAUGUUGGGUCAUAUUAAGUUAAUUUCGUAGGUUGGUGUUACAUCCUUAUAGCAGUGUAAAUUUUAAUGGCAAAUUAAUGUAAGGAUAAACUGGGUUUCACAUUUUCGGUGGAGUUAUUUUUUUUCUAAAGCUCAACCACAUUCUCUAUUACUGUUUAAUUUUUGUUUGUUUAUUAUGAUGAGAUUUUUCAGGUUCAUUCAAUUGAAUUAAUCAUAAUUCUUGGCUAUCACUAACAUUGGUCAUUAGUUAAUGGUGGACUUUCUAUAUUGGUCUAUGUAUGGAUUGCUUCUUUUUUUAGUUAGAUAUAUAUAUCACUAUUUUAAAUAGCAUAAUAAGCACCUAUAAGUCUACUGUUGAAAUAAAUGCUGGGAAUUUAAAAAUUAUCUACGUGUAGCCAUAUGUUUCUCCUGCCCACCCAAGCUUGUGCCAUCCCACAACCAACAUAAUCAUCAAAUCAUUGCCCUGAAUUCUCUUUAUUAUUUCAUUUCUUUUUAAUAUUGUUUUAUUAUAUCUGUAUGCACAUUAAGAUGGUGUGUGUAUGGAAGUACUCUGUAUACUAGCUUUAAUAUAUUUAUUUGUACUCUUUAAAUAUCUAUGUAUAAUUUUAGUUGCUUUUAAUUGUAUAAAAAUAUAUGUCAUGCUACAUAUAAAAUUUGUAGCUGGGCAUCCGAGUUGUACUUCCAGGUUUUUGUUACAAUACCUAUUGCUGUUAUAAGCAUUGUUAUACCUGUCUCUGAUUACAAAACUUUCUCUGGGUAUAUGUCCAGAGUUGAAUUCUUGAUUCAUAGAGUAUGUGAAAAUUUAACCUUAGGAGUUAAUAACAAAGGUGUUUUUUUAAAGGGGCUGUACCAAAUACAGCAGACCAGCAAUGUAUAAGUUGCAGAUCUAUUUAAUUCGUACCGUUUCUCCCUGAAGUUUUAAUUUUUGCAUGUUCAGUGAGAUAUAAAUGAUAUGUCAUUGCAGUCUUUUCAUUUUGUGGUCAUCAGUGUUGUUGAAUACCUUGUUUAAAGUUUACUUGUAAUAGGUUUGUCUCUUAUAUAAAAUGCCAUGCAAAUUUCUUGUCCAUUAUUCAUUUAUUUCAUGUUCUUCCU